rnacentral:rRNA from 1 species
GCUCAGAUUGAACGCUGGCGGCAGGCUUAACACAUGCAAGUCGAGCGGAAACGAUGAUAGCUUGCUAUCAGGCGUCGAGCGGCGGACGGGUGAGUAAUACUUAGGAAUCUACCUAGUAGUGGGGGAUAGCACGGGGAAACUCGUAUUAAUACCGCAUACGACCUACGGGAGAAAGGGGGCAGUUUACUGCUCUCGCUAUUAGAUGAGCCUAAGUCGGAUUAGCUAGAUGGUGGGGUAAAGGCCUACCAUGGCGACGAUCUGUAGCUGGUCUGAGAGGAUGAUCAGCCACACCGGGACUGAGACACGGCCCGGACUCCUACGGGAGGCAGCAGUGGGGAAUAUUGGACAAUGGGGGAAACCCUGAUCCAGCCAUGCCGCGUGUGUGAAGAAGGCCUUUUGGUUGUAAAGCACUUUAAGCAGUGAAGAAGACUCCGUGGUUAAUACCCACGGACGAUGACAUUAGCUGCAGAAUAAGCACCGGCUAACUCUGUGCCAGCAGCCGCGGUAAUACAGAGGGUGCAAGCGUUAAUCGGAAUUACUGGGCGUAAAGGGAGCGUAGGUGGCUCGAUAAGUCAGAUGUGAAAUCCCCGGGCUCAACCUGGGAACUGCAUCUGAUACUGUUGAGCUAGAGUAUGUGAGAGGAAGGUAGAAUUCCAGGUGUAGCGGUGAAAUGCGUAGAGAUCUGGAGGAAUACCGAUGGCGAAGGCAGCCUUCUGGCAUAAUACUGACACUGAGGCUCGAAAGCGUGGGUAGCAAACAGGAUUAGAUACCCUGGUAGUCCACGCCGUAAACGAUGUCUACUAGUCGUUGGGUCCCUUGAGGACUUAGUGACGCAGCUAACGCAAUAAGUAGACCGCCUGGGGAGUACGGCCGCAAGGUUAAAACUCAAAUGAAUUGACGGGGGCCCGCACAAGCGGUGGAGCAUGUGGUUUAAUUCGAUGCAACGCGAAGAACCUUACCUGGUCUUGACAUAUCUAGAAUCCUGCAGAGAUGCGGGAGUGCCUUCGGGAAUUAGAAUACAGGUGCUGCAUGGCUGUCGUCAGCUCGUGUCGUGAGAUGUUGGGUUAAGUCCCGCAACGAGCGCAACCCUUGUCCUUAGUUACCAGCGGGUUAAGCCGGGAACUCUAAGGAUACUGCCAGUGACAAACUGGAGGAAGGCGGGGACGACGUCAAGUCAUCAUGGCCCUUACGACCAGGGCUACACACGUGCUACAAUGGUAGGUACAGAGGGCAGCUACACAGCGAUGUGAUGCGAAUCUCAAAAAGCCUAUCGUAGUCCAGAUUGGAGUCUGCAACUCGACUCCAUGAAGUAGGAAUCGCUAGUAAUCGCGGAUCAGAAUGCCGCGGUGAAUACGUUCCCGGG